rnacentral:rRNA from 1 species
AUACGGAGGGUGCAAGCGUUGUUCGGAAUCACUGGGCGUAAAGGGUGCGCAGGCGGAAUGAUAAGUUAGUGGUGAAAUCCCGAGGCUCAACUUCGGAACUGCCAUUAAUACUGUCAUUCUCGAAUUCGGUUGAAGUGGGCGGAAUGUAGCAUGUAGCGGUGAAAUGCAUAGAGAUGCUACAGAACACCGAUCGCGAAGGCAGCUCACUAAGCCGAGAUUGACGCUCAGGCACGAAAGCGUGGGGAGCGAACAGGAUUAGAAACCCGGGUAGUCC